UGAUAGGUCCCAGUCAGGUGCUUGCUAACAAUGAUUAAAAGAUGAUAACGUUGUUCUGCUUUUGGUGAGAACGACCAGAGAUAAUUUAGUUUGAUAAUUGCUGACUAUCUUUAUUCACAGCGGGAAACUUAUUUAUAGUAGCUAACAUCACAAGUCUUUGGUUCUUAGCCAACAAUAUCAGCUAGAAUAUAGUAAAAUAAAACAAGAAAAAUAUUUAAAGAUAAACCUAGUGACCGAAUCCAAAUCAAACAUGACAACCACAAUUUGAUUAUCUUCCAAACCAGCAACGAAUAGUUUGACAUGGUGAUUCUCCCGCUAUUGUUUUGACACUCAAACAAAUUCAUCCCGCUCGUGAAACAUGGUCUGCAUGAAGUUGCAUGAGCACCUCCUUGGCUCCUUAUCAAUACCCCCUCGUGGAAGAGGACCCUUGUCCUCAAGGGUCAUGUGUGGAAAUUGUUGCUGUAGCAAUGCCGUGUCUUCCCAAGUUGUUCUCCUUUGUUGUCUUCUCCAUGUAGUUCCUCUGCAACUUCUUCACAAGUAUUCUCGUUGGUGUCAUUGUAGCUCUCGAGAAGUAGAAGUUGAGGCCCUUGACAUUUAUGACCCGCAGUGAACCGUUCAUUGCAAGUGAAACACAAUCCCUGAGCUCGUCGUCGUUGCAUUUCAUCCCACGGUAAUCUUUUGACAGGCACGGUUGGUGAUGCUCGAGUAGGUGGCAAUGUUGGCGGUGCGCGGUUGGAGGGUGGCUGGAAUAAUCUCCGUUGGCGUGUUAUCUGGUCGUCUUUCAUACGAGCAAGGCUGAUGGCUUCCUUUAACGUACGUGGCUUGAACAUCCGUAUAUCCUCCGCAAUCUCUGGUUUCAAUCCUCCCAUGAAAGUGCCUACCAACGCUUUCUGUGACCACCCAUGAACUCGGUUUCCCAACCUCUCGAAUUCCUUCUGGUAUUCUCGCAGAGAACCUGUUUGUUCGACCCGAGACAGUGCUUCAUCAAAGUCUUCACAAUCCGUUGGUCCGAAGCGUGCCCACAGCUCGUCAACAAAUGUUUCCCACGUAACUGGUCGGCCUUCUUCUUGGUAAGCCUUGCGCAUCCACUGCCACCAUUGAUUUGCUUCGCCCUCCAAGUGAUAUGACGCUAAGACUACUUUCUGCUCAUCCGUGGUUUCUUGGUACUCAAAAUACUGCGUUACCCGAUUGAACCACUCCGUUGGGUCGUCGCCGACAUAGCGGGGAAACUCCAACUUAGCAAUUCUUGUCGGCAGCGGUGGUCGACCUCCUUCACUUUCCUCGCGGAAUGGUCGUGAAGAUCUAAUGUGCUCGUUAGUGCCGCGACUAGCAGUGCCUUUGGUUGCACUAAAAGAUUCCGCCGAUUUGCUCAGGGUGUCCUCCAGACGCUGCAGCUUGUCAUUGAUCCCAAUUUCUAUUUGUUCUAUCUUGUUCUGUAAGUUCCCGAUAUCGGCUUCAAUUCGUUCGAUGCGCUCCUUGUUGGUUGCCAUUAAUAGCUAGCUCUGAUAUCAAUUGAUAGGUCCCAGUCAGGUGCUUGCUAACAAUGAUUAAAAGAUGAUAACGUUGUUCUGCUUUUGGUGAGAACGACCAGAGAUAAUUUAGUUUGAUAAUUGCUGACUAUCUUUAUUCACAGCGGGAAACUUAUUUAUAGUAGCUAACAUCACAUGUCUUUGGUUCUUAGCCAACAAUAUCAGCUAGAAUAUAGUAAAAUAAAACAAGAAAAAUAUUUAAAGAUAAACCUAGUGACCGAAUCCAAAUCAAACAUGACAACCACAAUUUGAUUAUCUUCCAAACCAGCAACGAAUAGUUUGACAUGGUGAUUCUCCCGCUAUUGUUUUGACACUCAAACAAAUUCAUCCCGCUCGUGAAACAUGGUCUGCAUGAAGUUGCAUGAGCACCUCCUUGGCUCCUUAUCA
rnacentral:lncRNA from 1 species